GAAGGGACCUAGCGUAGUUCGGAAUUACUGGGCUUAAAGAGCUCGUAGGUGGUUAGGAAAGUUGGUGAUGAAAUCCCAAGGCUUAACCUUGGAACUGUCACCAAAACUUUUUGACUAGAGUAUGAUAGAGGUAAGUGGAAUUUCUAGUGUAGAGGUGAAAUUCGUAGAUAUUAGAAAGAACACCAAUUGCGAAGGCAACUUUCUGGAUCAUUACUGACACUGAGGAGCGAAAGCAUGGGUAGCGAAGAGGAUUAGAUACCCUCGUAGUCCAUGCCGUAAACGAUGUGUGCUAGACGUUGGAAACUUAGUUUUCAGUGUCGCAGCGAAAGCGUUAAGCACACCGCCUGGGGAGUACGACCGCAAGGUUAAAACUCAAAUGAAUUGACGGGGACCCGCACAAGCAGUGGAGCAUGUGGUUUAAUUCGAAGAUACGCGCAGAACCUUACCAACACUUGACAUGUUCGUCGCGAACCUAAGAGAUUAGGUUCAUCAGUUUGGCUGGACGAAACACAGGUGCUGCAUGGCUGUCGUCAGCUCGUGUCGUGAGAUGUUGGGUUAAGUCCCGCAACGAGCGCAACCCUUACUUUUAGUUGCCACCAUUUAGUUGAGCACUCUAAAAGAACUGCCAGUGAUAAGCUGGAGGAAGGCGGGGAUGACGUCAAGUCCUCAUGGCCCUUACGUGUUGGGCUACACACGUGCUACAAUGGCACUUACAAUGAGAUGCAAAGAGGCGACUCCUAGCUAAUCUUAAAAAUGUGCCUCAGUUUCGGAUUGUACUCUGCAACUCGAGUACAUGAAGCUGGAAGUGCUAGUAAUCGCGGAUCAGCGCGCCGCGGGUGAAUACGUUCCCAGGUCUU
rnacentral:rRNA from 1 species